rnacentral:lncRNA from 1 species
CUGAAGAGUUGCUGAGGCAGAACUGAAAUCAUGGCUCGCCUCAAAGAAGCAGCUGUAUUGGCCGCUAAUGAUGCCUCACACAGAAAGACGAUGCUCCUUUAACUCGGGGUUUUAAUGGGAAGUUUCUAAGCCUGAAACAACAGCUUCGGAUCUGGGUUGUGCCAUCAGCUGCUCGCAGCUACCACUGUCUUAUGCUUUAACACGGCUUGUUCGGGAAGAAUGGAAACUAAAGAGGCUUCUAACUACCUGUAACUGUUCCACCAGGAAAUGGAUCAAGUGUUUGUUCAGCCAGAUCCAGGUACUUGACCAUAACUGCGUCUUUGAUGAGCUAAUUAGAUGCUUUUCUCUAACUUUACAAUUUAUGCAUGAGCAAUAAUCGCAUAGCUGCCUUUUGGGUCCAAGUUUUGAAUUUAAAUGUAGCUGUUAAAGUCUAAUUAAAUAGUUGCUAGGGGAAGUUAACACAAAGGGGUAAAAUGUAAUAAUGACUUUGUUUUUAAAGCAUGCUUAACUUUAUUAUGGUACUGAUACUGGAUAAAGAAGUAGAAAAACAGGCUUUUUUUCUUUUCUAAGCUGCAGUAAAUUAUUCUUGAAAGCUGUUUGCCCAUUACAGAUCUUCUCUCUCCCUUGUUUACUUAAAACAUCCAACCUUCCAAAAGGCAAUAAGAGUGUUUUGAUUUGUUUAAAAAAGAAUCACAACUCAACAACUCUUAAUGAGAGCCUGACUGUCCCUGGGUUAUGAGCAGUGGGUAGCUCUAGCCUUUUGAGGUAUCUGCAAGCAAUCUUUUUCACUGCGAAACACACAAGGACAGAAACAGAAAACAGGUAGAAAUGAAGGGUUCAUUAUUUGAAGUUAAAAGUCCCAGUUUGCUAAGAGUAUCUUUAGAAAGUAUGCAUUACUGCCUGGCCAUCCUUAUGGUAUUUCUCUAAUGUUCUCAGCUGGACUGCAGUGUUGCCCUGCAGUUCCUUUAAAACUCUCCAAGCAGGUGUUAGGAAAAAGAGGAAGAUAGAGAAGAAGCAUAGCUGAGGUUGGGACUCCGGUUGAAGAGGAAGAUCCCCUAUUGACCCAGAGGUGACAAGCAGCAGUGAGUUAGGAAGGAGAGGGUCUACUCCCAGACCCAAGCAGCUGUGUCUGCAGGCUGACUUUGCAGGGAUGAGCAGAGAACAGCCCUCCCAGUGCAGUAUUAGGUGCUGGCAACAGCUCCCAAACUGCCUGUUGACAUUUGUAACUGAACACACAUCAUGUUUUAAAAAUUAUUAUUUGUGGGCUUUCUAGUGGCCUUAGGUCUACUAUUUGAGCAUGUUAAAUAACAUUCACCCUUAGCCAUUCUGUGAAUUUGGAAGCAUCAGGGUGAUUGUAUUGGAGUUUUAUUUGGAUAAAAAGAAUGUAGACAUUGCCUUAUAUUUAUAUGAUUCAAAAAUAAGGGAGGAGGAGGAGAGGGUGUGGGAAGAUUUACAAUGAAUGAAGCCCCUAAAAAGGGCCAGAAAAUCUUUACCUGAAGUUCUUGACUGGUCACCAGGGCCAUGUAUUUUUUUUUAAUUUAUAUGAAACAUUUUGUAUCUUUAUUUGUGUAACCUGAAAUGCAAAUUCUUGAUCACUGAGCUAAUAUGCAGGAUUUCCAAAGGAUCAUAGGGGAAUAACUUUUGCUUAUGUAGUGAUUUGAUUACUUAGAUGAUGCAGUGGCUUCUGUGGAGGGCUCACGAUUGUUGGGGCGAUGUAUGGGGUAGCCUGAGGUUCGAACACCUGGGUGGAUGAGUGGGUUGAGAGUGAGGUGUACCUAGAGAGUCAGUAGUUCUACAAACAGGAAUGCAGCUAAGGCUUCCUUUAGCUCAAAAAGUAUCCAGUGGUUCUAUUUACCCUCCCUGUAAUGGGUGGGAUCCUAAAAAUAAAAUUCCAUACAGGAAUGCAUUACUAUAUGGAAAACCAUGUAGCCAUUUCAACAGUCAGCUUCAGAACUGUUCUAGAAAAAUGUAGCACUUUGUGGAAGUUUCUCUCUUCUGGUCACUGCAAAUUUAGUUCUGACUAGCUAGCCAAUGCCCUUCCUGUUAGUCUACAGAUUAGUCUCAUUAGUCUGCCAGGUAAAUGUAAAUAAGGUGCACAGAAUGUCUUUGUAGGACAAAGUGUCCUGUCAAUGUAAACUGGACAAGCCCAGGAGUGUUCUUGCUCAAUGGAUGGGCUGUUUUUUACGCCUACUUUUAAAAACAUGUCAAGUCACGGAAUUAAGUUUUUGGCCUAGAAGUUUUAAAAAUUAGGUAUAGCAAUUAUGUGAUUUAGGAGUACUUAAAAUACAGGCAACAUUGCUUAACUGCACUCUUCUUGCCAUUAACAGCAGAAGGAUGACAACUUUUAACUCAUUCAAACAUGUAAGAGAAAUACUUGGUCCCUCUUGCAUCCUUUGUAGGAGAUGGGGGUGUCACUCUUUUUAUUACUGGUUUUUAUGAUUUGGGGCAGUUUAUAAAUCUCCAUUCCUUUCUGUGCUUGGUUGCAUAAUAGAGAUUAGAAAUAAAUCUCAUUUUGCAUAAAAAUGAUAGAGAAAACACUCAUAUAUUAGCACUUGGUUAUUAAAUACCCACUCUGUGCUCAACAGGGUUGCACAUGUACUGCAGCUGUGGUCACUGUAACACAUUCCAUGAGGGUGAGCCCUUGAGUCAAUGACCACAAAAGUAAGGAGAGAACAAGGUGCCAAAUGCACUUAACUGAUUCUGUUUCUGUCUCUUUAACAAUAAGAAAAGAGGCAAGUCAUUGCUUUAGGAUGUACUUUCUUCAUAAAAAGCACUUUUCCCUUCUGUGAAAUUAUGUAAUGAGAUGUUAAUGAAAUAAAAUGUCCAAGGUAUCCGAGCCAGAGCAGGGUAUGUGUUGACAUGAAUAACUUCCACACACAACUUUAGGAUUUAGUGUAUUUUAAACGGCCGCCCCUCCCAACCACAGAACAGACUGGGUACAAAUGGACUGACCUCUUCAAUAGAAGGGUAACUGCCUAUCUCUGGCUGAUCUUUAUUUUUAGGAUCCCACCCAUCUGUAUUGCAGCCAAGGAAAAUUUAAAGAGCCAAAUAACUUAUAGCUUUUCAAAUCAUGAGAGCUGUGACUAUUAAAGUGCCAUUGUGACCCAAGCUAGCUAUGAUUCUUUGAAACAAGAUCUCUUUCUCAUACUGGGUCUGACAUCCCAGUUCGACUGAAUGACUUUUACUUCCCCCCGACCCCCAUCAUUGUAUCAGUUAGCUGGCACCUUGAAUUUUGAGUUCAGUUCUCUGGAUUUUAAGGGGCAGAGAUUUGAUUCAGCCUAUCUUCAAAGAAGCAGUGACCCCAGAAUGGCAAGCAGUUCUUCAAGGAGCUUGUUAUUUAGUAAGAGGAAGGUGUUGUUUAGUAAGAGGAAGUGACAGCUCAUCUAGACUUGUCACUGAUCAAUGCUGCCCGAGUGUAGGAAAUCUCUGGAGGCAGAGCAGGGAGCACCCCAUCCUCUCUGAGGGGGAUACAUAAGAUCCCAGGAAGGAGCGGAUAUUUGGUGACAACUCAGAAGGAGGGGGAGGACCCCCCAGAAGUGGGAAGAGGAGGAGGCAGUGAGCACUAUGAGGUGGGAGCCUGUAGGUGUUGGAAGACCAGCAGGUGAGAUGGAGCCAGGGAAGGGGCAAGAUGAAGCCCUUCUCCUUAGGUGCCCCAGAGUCAAUUACAUAUACAUUUAUUCUCAUCAAUACUUUGGUCAUUUUACUGGACACCAUAUGUGAUUUGACAUUUGUUCCUUUUUAAACUUAUGAAAAUAGAUUAACAUCUUAGAAAACUCCAUAAGAGUGUGUCUGCUCAGUGGUCCUGGAUGCAUCAGGGCAUCAGGUGCCCAGGGGGUUAUUGGGCUAUGGACACUGGGGUACAUGGGUCUUCUGGAGGAGGAGUGGUAAGAUCUGAGCUUCGGACAAUGGACCAGGAUGCAAUAUGUAGAAAGUACAGGCAAAGGAAGAGGAACACACUGAAAUUACUGAAAUUAAAGCAAGUGGCUAAGAGAGAGAAUGGCUACGGCAAAGAUGAACUGCUUACACGGGGAUUCCUGAGUAAUUCAGGGUGUUUCACACUUUGUCUGUAUUGUGGAGUCCACAGAGCUUGACUUGUGAAAAGAAGAUGUGUUUUAUGAUUUUUAAAAUGGGAUCUUUUAAUUUAGGUUUUCUUGGUCCAGUAUUAAAAUUAGACUUUAUUUUCUGAGCACACACAAAUGGACCCAGCCAAGGGAAGACACAGAUGCACUGCGUGAUGGGCAAAGCCAGUCAAGAUUAAAAUACUGCCGUGAGUAACUGUGGUCCUUCUUUAUACUUUAAAAUAACUGCCAUUUGUUAUUAGCAAGUCUUAUGAUGGUCAUGUCAAAAUCUUUUUUGAAAUGAUUUAUUUUCACUGUUCAUAUAAAAGAAAGAUUUCAUUAUUUAGCUAAAAACAAUCACGAACAUUCUCUAAGAAUCAUUUUUUUUUUAUCAAAGAGAAACAUUUUACUUUGAGACACAUUUUUAAAUUUAUGUGUCUUUGAAUGUUUUCAUAUUGUGAUAGCCAAGUGAUUAAAUUUAUUUCUUUUUCUCAAUCUUAAUCUGAUGCUUCCUUUAACUUGAACAUGUUGUUGAGCUUUCUAAAUUUGUAAAUUAUUCACUAGCUGAUUAUAGGUUUAAAAUCAAGCAGACUCUUCCAGGGAAUUCAAAUAGUCCUAAGCAAAAUUGUGAAGAAGUGGCAUUUGUUUCUGGAUCUCUUUAUCCUUUUACCCAUCUUUAACCAGCUCCUGGUCAUUUCUCUCUUUCUACCUGUCAUCUUUCAUCCUUCCCCAGGUCUCUCCUGUUGGGCCACCUGCUCAUGGUACCCAUGUUUCCCCCAUCCUUCUCCUUUCUAGCAGCCCCUCAUUCCCAACAAGAUCUUCCUUUUAUCUACUAUAUUUCCUUUCUCCAGUCUCCUACUUACCACAUUUCACAGUCCUCACUGACAAAUCCCUGCUAUUAUGUUAAUGUGUCACUUUCCUUGGUAAAACACUGCAAUUUAAUAGGAGGCUUUGAUUAUUUAACCAAAAGAAGUUAUUUUAGUGAGAACUUGAGCACCGUGGUAUACCUGAAGGAGGAGAGGUUUACAAUUCACAGUGUGCUAUAGAGUUUUCAAAAUGCUCAAUUUGGUUUAUCUGGAAGGGGCUAGGGAUGAAAGAAUGUAUUUAUUAGCAGGCUUCUGAAAAUGUGGUCAGAUUGCAAGGAAGGCUUAGCUAUACUUUCACCUCUUGAAAUUAAUUGAUUAAUUAAUUAAAAUGUGGUGCUGGGAUUGAAUCAGGGUGUUGCACAUGCUAGGUAAGUGUUUUAUCAUGGAACCAUAUCCUCCCACCAUCUCUUGCCUUUUAAUAAGCAAAAGGCGGUAAGACUGCAUAUUAAAACUGAUUUUUAAAUCAUCCUGAUAGUUGGCAUUCCUGUGAAGAAAGUAAUUUCCAGAACGUUCUAGAGGAAACCUGAAGAGGGAGAUGUGGCAGAUGAUCCAAAUCAGAACAAUUAGGCGAUUUGCUGGGGCCUCUGGAUUGUUUGCCAAUCACUGUAGCCCCCAAACAAGUGGUGUAUAGACUCUAGGUCCUGAGCUAUGGGCUAAGCCCAGAAAGUAUGAGAGUUGAUCUAGGAGAAAAGGGUUUGACAUUUUGUCCUGUGUGCAGGAGGAGGCUGGGAAAGACUGCUCCUGGAUGUCAGGGUGGCUCUGAUCACAGAGACCAGGGGUGGGAAGGAGGGACUGAACAAGGUAUUACAAUGUGAGUCAGCUAGCUCAUGGCUGGGGUCAUUCUCACGGGCCCUAGAACUCUGUCCAGCUCUUCCCUAUUUUCACUGGAUUCCACAGAUCCCCAAAUCCUGAUAUUAUAAAUUUAUAUAGUUAAUGGUCUUUGCUUUUCCUGCAUUUCCUUUUUUGGAUUAUGUAGUUUAUUUUUCUCCCUUAAAAUCUGUCUGGAAAUGCAUACCCAUCUAAGCUCUGUUCAGAAGAGACAAAGGAAAGGUCUCUGACUUCCUCUGAAAUGAAGGAAAAAAAUAGAGAUAGAAUGGGAUUCUUGUAAACCAACAAGCAGAGCAGGGUCAAAGUGAGGUGAACCUUCACGGGACACAAACAGGCAAGAAGGGACAUGUUAGGGAUGGCUGAGGCUUGAGCACCUCCCUUAUCAGAUGGCUUUCCCUUGUGCCAGUCUUUGGAGAAUCUUAUAAUUGGAAUGAUUAAGUCCAGCAUAAGUAUUUUUGGUGGCUACAGAUGGCCCCGGUCUGAUAUGCUGAGGAAGCUGCAUUGGAGGGUCUGGCCACCUUUCCUGCUCCUUUCCUUUCUAGCCCAGUGGGAAUCAAUACCCAAAGAUAGGAGGAUGCUUAAAAACAAGAAAAUCUGAACCAAACCCCAUUUAUAACAUCCUCCACAUUCUUUUUUUUUUUUUAAAAAAAGAUUUAUUUUUUUAAACCUUUAUUUAUUUUUAUAUGAUGCUGAGGAUUGAACCUAGCGCCUCACACGUUAGGCAAGCGCUGUACCACUGAGUCACAACCCCAGCCCCAUCCUCCACAUUCUUAAGAAGCUUAAAAGUAUCACUAGUUGGCAACUCCUUUCUCCCAGAUAGGAGUUGAUAUCCCUUUGGUAAAUUGCUUUUUAAAGUGUGAUUCUAUAGACUUUUAAGAGUCCACUUACAUGCACACUGUAAUUGUGAUUACUAUUGCUGUACAGAGGACAGUGAUUCUAAGUUGAUGGAAGAAAUGUUUUCAUUCUUUAGGUCAUAAUUUCUUUCUUUAUUUGGUUGCUUACUUUCUUUGAGCAUAAUUUCUUCGGACCCAUGUUAGUUUCUAUAGUUAACUCUGUUAUGUAAUUUUUCUCACAAAUUCAUAAUAAUUAUGUCCAUGUGACUUUCUAUAUGAUAGUGUCUAAAAUGAAUGCUUUUUUCUUACAGAAUUUAAGUUUAUUUAGUUCAGUACCUUUUAAUGACUUUCAUUUAUUGUUUUAUUUGCCUUUAAAAACAAAUAGGAAGUCAGGCACAUACUUGUAAUUCCAGAGACUAGGGAGGCUGAGGCAGGAAGAUUGCAAGUUUUGAGGUCCACUUCGGCAACUUAGCAAGGCUCUAAGCAAUAUGGCAAGACCCCACUUCAACAGAAAAAGUUAAAAAAAAAAGCUGGGGAUGUGGCUCAGUGGUAGUGUCGUCCCAGGUCCAAUCCCCAGUAACACAAAACAAACAAAAACAAAACAAAAAAUGCAAAACCUAGUAAUAUCCAAGUGCCUCAUUUUUUUUUCUCCAGUUUUUCCUUCUCUCUCUUUCUACCAGAUGGACUUAAAUGCAGGAAGCCACUGCCAAGAAAACUGUCCUUUUAAUAAUAUUCAGUCGAUUAAAUCCUUUUCCCCAGCUCAGUUCUCUAGGUGCUUCCCAGGGUCAAGUAUUGAACUUGGUCUUUGUUUUUGAAGAAGAAAGUAAAAGCAGCAGUAACUUGAUGGUUUGGGAGUCUGAGAUGCCUCCUCCCUUGGCUCAGGCAGCAGAAAGCAAAGGAGAAGCAUUGUGGAUUCCUUAGGGCUGCCUUAGUGCAGGGGAGACUUUGUUGUCUUUUUUCUUCUUCUUUGUACACCUUUCAAAGGGUUUCCAUGGUCAUUCAUUUAUAUCAUAGCACCAUGAGAUAUGAGGCAUUUCUAAAUGUUUACAGCUUUGUGACCUCUCCAAGGUCCCAAACUCAUGUAGCAGUGGAAUGGAAGCCAGAGCCCAGAACCUAGAACACAAAGCUCCCUGAGAGAGUUUCCAUAUGAAGCACUUCUUUUUGCCUCUGUUUCCUGAUACUUGGAAAUUAUACUUGAAAACAGAAGUCUCUGCUUUCAGGGAGGCUGUAGUAGAGUGGCUAAUAUAUGUUGAGUUUAGCCACAGUCCUAGCACAUAGCUGGUGCUCACUUAAUAGAACUGUUAUAAGAACGAUUUGACAGUAAUAUAACUGGGGGGAGCUAGGGGAUUCUUGGCAGGGUGGCAGGGCUUGGGUGUCAAGUUGACAGAAGACCCGGAGGUCAAUAUUAAUUUUCACAUUUCUCAUCUUCGAUAUUAUAGUUGUCUUCCAUGCCCAUCCGUCCUGACCUUAGGUGGCCAUUCUGAGGACAAUCUGGUAAUUUCAUGUAAGAGGAAAAUAUUCUUGCCCAUAAUUAUACAUAAUUAAGCAUAUCUGGUGAAAAAGAAAGCUGGUUUACAGAUUUAUACUCUCUGAAAAACAUGACUGUGGAUAUAUAAAAUGAAGUUGCUAUUUGAUAGUUAUUCCCUCUCCUUCCUUUUCCUUCUUCCUGAAGACACCUCAGCCUCGCCAGAGUGCAGCCACCAUGAUCUCAGCAGACUGAUGAUGGAAGAGAAGGGAACCAGGAGAUCCUGUGCUUGGCUUUCUGUGGACAAUGGAUGGAGGGCAGCCCAUCCCCUCGCCCCUAGUGCCCCUUGGGAACGUGUCAUCAGAAUCUAGCAUGUCUCUGGAGCAGAAAACAACAUUUGUUUUUGUGAUUUUAUUGUUUAUUUUCUUGGGCAUCCUCAUUGUCAGGUGCUUCCGGAUUCUUCUGGACCCAUAUCGGAGCAUGCCGACCUCUACCUGGGCUGAUGGACUUGAAGGCCUGGAGAAAGGGCAGUUUGACCAUGCCCUUGCUUAGCAGGGGCAGAGCAAGAUCUUCUCCUGAGAAGAAGAAGAGGUGAAGUGCUUCAUAUCUGCGCAAAGAUUCCCUUUAGUCAAUGUUCUGAACAAAUUUUAACAAUAUCUUAUCCUAGGACCACCACUCAUUAUUUCAUAAGCAUGCCAUUGAGUUAGUCUUAUUUGAAGAUAUUGGAAAUGAAAGUUUGUAUUGAUAACCAAAAAUAGGAAUGUUUAAAUAUCUGUGUUUUAUUCAAUGAAUGUAUAUUGUUGAAUGCAAUUGUGAAACCCAGGGCACCAAUACUGAUAUAGACUGCUAUGAAAUAAAGCCCUACUGAGCUGAACAGAGAGGAAAACUAGAGAGGUUCUGUUAGGAACCUGGUUACAGGGCCAGGAAGAGACUGCCUUGCUGUAAUCAUGCCUCUCAGUUUCUUACUUCAUGGGCAUCUGGGUCCUGUGCAGAGGGAGGAAGACACUGAUGAGAGGACCCCAGUUGGGUAUUUGUUUCCUUCUAGAGUACAGCCCUGGGAAGCCACGGGAUGCUCAAGCCAAGAGAUGGUACUGUCCUUGCAAAAUAUGAGUGAGAAUGAUAGCACUUUAUUUUUCAAAUAAAACUGAAUUCAUAAGCUAUAGAGUUUCAAACAAUAUUUACCAAAGUAUGUUCUCUAUUCAUAUUAAUAACAUGUGAAGCUAUACAUAAGACGAAUUUCCUUUCUUUACACUGAUGAUUGAAUUAAUAGGUUGCAAGUGCUGCUUCAAGUUUUUUUCCCUUAAUUAAAAGCUAAUUAUUUAGAGAAAAACAUUUUUACAGCUGUAAGAGGAAUGUGCAUUUACGAUUGCAUAUAGCCACCAAAUAAAACUUUUUAAGAAGCAGCAUCGUCUCCUCUCACUUCACCAAGAUUAACACAUGGGUGGAGAGCCGUGCUGAACGCUGAGG